GUUGCAGGUUUCCGACACUUGGACUCUGGAACCCGACGUUAGGACAUCUGUCCACCGACGUUUGGACUACUGGUCCCCGACGUUUGGGCGCAACAGUAAAUUGUUGCUGAAACCAACGAGCGCUACACUUUCCGACAAGAUGACUCCCGUGCCAUCGACAUUAGGACUUUUUUUUUAUUGAUGAUAAGUGUUGUAUACGUCAAACGGACUCCCGAUCUAGCGACAAAAGGAUUCUCAAUACAGAAAAAAGGAUGAAUAAAAUUAUAAGAGUUUAUGUGCUGAUGCCAGAGGCACUAAGGUAUGAUGUAGCAAUCGAAACCAUUCCUUAUAAUGUUGCUGCCAUACGUCAUCCAAGACAUUGUAGAGUAUACAUCAACACUUAGUCUCUGUUAUUAAGAAAUGUGGAAAUGGAGGAUAAGCACAAACUCAUGAUUCCAUUGUUGACUCAAAGCCAACAGCCCCACUUGUCUCGAGGUCCCAAUGUGCAUAUCCAGGGAAAGCGAAGGGGAUAUUAAUCAACGUGCUGGUCGAGCUGGUCGUACCGGCCCGGGACAUUGUUACCGACUCUAUUCUUUUGACGUCUUUAAUGACGAGUUUGAAAAAUUUUCCUUGCCAGAUAUCGCGCGAAGACCCAUCGACGACUUAGUUCUGCAAAUGAAAUCAAUGGACAUUGAAAAAGUUAUUCACUUUCCUUUCCCCACACCACCUGAUAUUCAGCAACUAUUCGCAGCUGAGCGACGGUUGUUGUUGCUAAAUGCAC